GACGUAGGUGGCGAGCGUUGUUCGGAAUCACUGGGCAUAAAGCGCACGUAGGCGGCCAAGUCAGUCAGGUGUGAAAUACCUCGGCUCAACCGAGGAACUGCGCCUGAUACUGCUUGGCUUGAGGUCCGGAGGGGAGAGUGGAAUUCCCGGUGGAGCGGUGAAAUGCGUAGAGAUCGGGAAGAACGCCGGCGGCGAAAGCGAACUCUCUGGUCGGAAUCUGACGCUGAGGUGCGAAAGCUAGGGGAGCAACGGGG
rnacentral:rRNA from 1 species